GACGAACACUGGCGGCGUGGAUUAGGCAUGCAAGUCGAACGGUAGGAUACCUUCGGGUAUCUGAGAGUGGCGAACGGGUGAGUAACACGUAGGUGAUCUACCCUCAAGAUUGGGACAACCCAGGGAAACUUGGGCUAAUACCGGAUGAAAGCAGCAGUGAUGUUGUUUGAAAGGUGGCGUAAGCUGCCGUUUGGGGAUGAGCCUGCGCUCUAUUAGUUAGUUGGCGGGGUAAAGGCCCACCAAGGCGAUGAUAGAUAGGCGGCCUUAACGGGUGGUCGCCCACACUGGGAUUGAGAUACGGCCCAGACUCCUACGGGAGGCAGCAGUCGAGAAUAGUCUACAAUGGCCGAAAGGCUGAUAGUGCGACGCCGCGUGAACGAAGAAGCCCUUCGGGGUGUAAAGUUCUUUUAUAUGUGAGCAGUGCUUUCUAUGUGAACAGCAUGGGGAGAGAGAUAUUAGCAUAUGAAUAAGCAACGGCUAACUCCGUG
rnacentral:rRNA from 1 species